AAGAAGGGUCAUGCUGAGAAAAUGAAUCUUUUGCAAAUGUUCAUGAAUCUCUGGCAUUCAGGUGCCCUGCAGGAGAAACACAGAGAGACAUAAAAAAAGAUUUUCACCACUUCAUCUCAGCAUGUGGCUCUCAUCUGGUUCUGUGCUCUGCCUGCUCCUUUCCUGGGAUGUUGUUCAAGGAAGCUGCAGCCCAGAAGACUUCUCUUCCCUGCCAAGUGAGAGCCAGCAAAAUGACACCCUUCCCCCAGGCCUCCACCCUCGGUAUUGCAGUAAUUGAAAAGGGAGAUUAUUCCUCGUGUGCCAGGCAUUAACGCUUCAGCUGCUGGAGCAGCUCUUCUGCCCUGAGCAGCGCUGUCAGGGAAGGCCCAYGACACCUCCAGGAAGCUGCCUGCACCCUGCGGCUUUGCUCGCUGCCCCGAGGAUGCAGGUCCUAGUCAACAGGACAGAACCACAUCUGCCUCAGAAAACCACUACCAYUUGAAGCAGCAGCAAAGAGUGGAACUCACACGUCCGCAGCUCACACCUCUGUCCCCUUAGCUCACAGCUGUUGCACUCUGAGCUUGCACAGAAAGGCCUUUUCCACCACUCUCUUUACUCCUCUGUUGCCCUCCCUGUCCUGUUUAUCACAGCGGUGGGUCCAGGCUCUGUGUGUCAAACUGGGAAUCUGCUCAGAAUUAAAACCACCCCAUGGAGGUUACAGCUCAGCCCUCGGUAGACUCAGGUUUGCAUAGCUGUGAGAUUUGAAUUUAUACCUUAAGGGACUUCCAAAGCUGUGAGCCAAUGCCAGUUCCUGAAAACUAGUCUGUUUCUCCUAACUAGUUAAGGAAAAUGGAAAAUCCACCACAUGUUGGGAGCCCUCCUGCAGGAGACUCCUCACAGAAGCUGGCUGUCCUCCUGACUUGGGGAGCCUGUGGGGAGCCAUGGAAAAAGGUGCAUCUCAGACGCCAAGGAAGCAUCACUUGGUGACACCACGUCUCUUGAAUUUCUUCACUCCAUCUUUACACUCUUGUUAGAGAACUGAGGAGAGGCAUAUGGCCUGACUAACUGUUAAUCCACUUUCCUCAAAGAGUAGCUCUGCCCACUGGUCCUUGUGCUUCAUUUUAGAGAAAGCUCCUCUCCGAGGCACUCUGUGGGCAUAUAAAAUUAACGUAAAGCCUGUAGCCAUGGGAGAGCGCUACACAACUGCUGUGCAAGCCCUACACAAACAAAUUGGAUUCAUCCCUGACCACUGCCUGUGCAGAGAGCUCCUCAGAACGUUGCAGGGCUCACACCAGUGC
rnacentral:lncRNA from 1 species